GCGUGCAACACACUGCAGGGUCGUCUUACCCCCUCACCGUCUUUUCCCAACCACCUGCGGCCAUUGCUGCAGAAUGCAGUGUCUGCCCGAGCCCAAUAUGUUGCAACAACGCUAAAUAACACCAGACACGCAAUAAGGCUUUUGAAAGAGAGAACAUCCCAAAUGAGACAAGUAGUGUUACAAAACAGAAUGACUCUGGAUGUGUUCAGUGCUGCCCAGGGAGGGACCUGUGCUCUGAUAAAGGGAGGGUGUGUCCGUGUGUUACAUGCGGUGGAAUUUUGGCUUAUGAUGUCCAGAGUUUACUGAGCAGUCACUCCAGUCCCUCAUUGAGCCUGCGCAAUGUUUGGUCGAAGGAGGUCGUCAGCAAGUUUUUUCCUUAUCUGCCAAUGCCCUUGUUAUUCUGCAAGGUACAUAGUUAUAUAUUCUAGUUAUAAGUUCCUCUGGUUGUGGCAUGUGGGACGCCGCCUCAAGUGUGGCCUGAUGAGCGGUGCCAUGUCUGCGCCCAGGAUCUGAACCGGCAAAACCCUGGGCCCCCAAAGUGGAGUGCACGAACUUAACCACUCGGCCUUGGGGCCGGCCCCUGGGGUCUGGUUUAAAUCAUAGCUUGUAAAUUAAUAAAUGGAUGUAUACAAACUUAUUUACUUAAGUUUCCACCAAGUACAUAAACUGGAAUGAAUGAGACAUUCAUACUGUACCAAAUCAGAUUAAAAGACGAAGAUGCAUUUUUGAGACAGACAUUCAGAGCUCACAUAGACUUCUUCAUCUCCAGGGCUGGACAGAUGAGACAUCAUAAAAAUCUUUGGGCCAGCUUUUCCCAGCCCCAGGCCUGCUGUCCCAUCUCCCCGUACCCUAAUUGCCAUUUGCAGCUCCGCUCCCCUUUCCCCCUCCCCACAGCUGGAAUUUCGGGCGGAGGAUCCAGUUUCCCCUUGCACAGUAUGGCCUGGCUUGGAACACUGAGUCUAACUCACCCUUCCGUUUCAUAGAAGGGGAAUCCCACUCAGGGGGAGCGCUUGAACAGUUCGUUUACUGUAGCCAGACCCAGUGUGGUAUUUGUAAGCACCUUAUUCUAAAAGUCAUUUAUUAUGAGGGAAGUAAAACCCAUACUGCAAAAGCGACAAGUUAAUGAGGGCAACUCUUGAGCAAUAUUAUUGCAAGUCGUGACUGGGUAAACAGUAAAGAUCAAAGUUCAGUUCGCACACAUCCUCCUCCAAGAACCAUAUCACAACAAUUUCUGGUUCAUCACAAUUUAAACAGCCUUAUCGUUUUCACCUGCAAGGGGAACUCCAUAGGUGCAGAAUAUAGAAGUUUAUAAACAAAGUCUCCGCCUUUCAGGUUGGAGCCUCAGAAAUGAUAAUCAUGAUGGAAACAAUAAACAAUAAUGAUUAAUACUAAUAAUUACAAAAGAAAGACUGAAUAGAAUUACUGUGUAUGAGUCUCUGCGCCCUCCAGACAUCUUCUCAUUCAGACCUCGCUACGUAUUCUUUAUGUGGACAAAUAAGGAAAUAAUUUUUGGGGGUUGCCGAGGGCACAGCUACUGGACUCCAGCUGGGUCGGCUCAGGCCCCCAGUCCGAGGGCCUAGAGCUAUUGCUCAUGGACCGUUUUGGCCAAAGAUGCGCUUUCUCCUCCAGCCACGAGGCAA
ensembl:lncRNA